AUCAUCAAGAAGAAGAAAAACAUAUAAAACAUCAACAACAACAAAGCAAAUAGUCUUACAUUUUAAAGUUUAAUUAAAAACAAACAUGUCAAACAAAUUUGUUGCAUUGUUGUUGUUGGUGUGUGUUGUAACUGUAAAUGGGAGACUCGAAGAUGGGAGAUUGAUGACCCCAGAAGCAUGCUACGAUUAUUGCUACAGAUCCAUGAUGUACCCCAAAUUCAUUGCCGAUCCUAUAUGUAAAUAUCGUUGUAAAUACCCCAUGUACGAAAACCGCCCUAAACCUCCUCCUCCUGCUAUCUUUGGACAAUCCUUACACGUAAGGAAAGCCGGUAGUCCGACAAGUUCUCCGAAACGUUCUCCCACACCAACACCCAAAAUUCAUUAAAAAAUAGAAAUAUUCAUCAUUGUACACCACACUAUUGCUUCAUUUAUAAGGCAUAAUAGUUGGUUUAUUUAGUUGAAUUGUAAUUUAACAUUUAUUAUUGUGUUUAUUGAAGUUGAUUGCUUGGGAUUAAUGAUUGAGAGAAAGUAAGAGGGGGUUCUCAUAUUUAGGUGGAAAUAUAAAUAGAAAUACACUAGGGUAGAAUUAAGAAGAGGGGCAUUGAACAUGGGGCUUGUUCAUCUAAGAUAUUUUAUACUAAUUCUAUAAAAGAAUGAAUUUCUUUUC